rnacentral:rRNA from 1 species
AGAGCGAACGCUGGCGGCAGGCCUAACACAUGCAAGUCGAGCGCCCCGCAAGGGGAGCGGCAGACGGGUGAGUAACGCGUGGGAACAUACCCUCCGGUUCGGAAUAGCUCAGGGAAACUUGGAUUAAUACCGGAUACGGCCUAGCGGCGAAAGAUUGAUCGCCGGAGGAUUGGCCCGCGUCUGAUUAGCUAGUUGGUGGGGUAAUGGCCCACCAAGGCGACGAUCAGUAGCUGGUCUGAGAGGAUGAUCAGCCACAUUGGGACUGAGACACGGCCCAAACUCCUACGGGAGGCAGCAGUGGGGAAUAUUGGACAAUGGGCGCAAGCCUGAUCCAGCCAUGCCGCGUGAGUGAUGACGGCCUUAGGGUUGUAAAGCUCUUUCGCUAGGGACGAUAAUGACGGUACCUAGACAAGAACGCCCGGCUAACUUCGCGCCAGCAGCCGC